AGCACGUAAGUGGGUUUGUAAGUCAGACGUGAAAACCUUUUGUUCAAAGGAAGAAUUGCAUUUGAAACUACAAAUCUUGAGUGUAGGAGGGGAGAGUGGAACUUCUGGUGGAGCGGUGAAAUGCGUAGAUAUCAGAAGGAACGCCGGCGGCGAAAGCGACUCUCUGGCCUAUUACUGACACUGAGUGUGCGAAAGUUAGGGGAGCAAACGGGAUUAAAUACCCCGGUA
rnacentral:rRNA from 1 species